rnacentral:lncRNA from 1 species
GUAAGGCUUUCUUUAUUUUGCUGUCCAGCAGUUGGGUGAGUCCCUUGCAGAACAUUUGGCAUCCGAACACUUGAGCGUUAAAUGCGGUAUCUUUUCUCCUUGAGCAGGGUGAUGUGCACUGAAGGCUCAGCCCUCCUUCUUUCCUUCCCAUAUCCCAGAUCCUUGGAGAGAGAAGAGGCAGAGCAGUACCUCGAGCCAGCUUUGCUUCAGAGACACUGUAGGAAGGACUGAGCCAUUCUGGCAGAAAUGAGGAACGAUUAUUCUUUCUGUUGUUGAACCUUUUCUUCAAGGAAAAGACAUUGACCAGGGCAAUGAAAGAUCUUGAACUUUAGACCUGCUGCAUCCAGCACAUAUGCCACCAUCUGGGAUAUGCCACCAGCUAUAGGAAGAAACCUUUGUGAAAAUGGAAAAUGUGCUACAAACGCAUUUUUUCAAUUAUUUUUCAAGAAUUUCUGCUUCCCAGAGAGAUUUGACAAUCCUGCUUCAGCACCAGCUGGGGUGCUGCAGGCAGUCUGGCCAGGAGCAUUGGCAGAAAUGUGGGCAAAUACCAAGUGAAAUCUCUUCAUUGCUGUGUGUGGCCUUCUAGGAACCCGUGGGAUGGCGAUGCGAUGUGGUGGCCCGUGGGAGCUCCCUGCAGCAGCAAGUUCCUCUACAGGUUUACAAGAUUUGAUUACAUGGCCAAAAAUCAAAGUAAGACACAUGAGAAAAAAAACAUGGAGCACCAUAUGUCAUGGAUGUGCCAAUGUGAGGGGGUUUUCUAGUUCCUCAGUGAAGCCACAGAGUCACAACCAUAUUGACCCAUGACAUUUCUGCUGAACAACCAGAUGAGCGCCAGUUCAGUUCAGGGAGAUCAGGGGUGCUGUCCCAGACUGCCUUAAUACAAGUUUCCAACUCUUUCCAGCAUACAAAAAUUCCAGUCUUGCCUCUCACUAGAUUAAAGGCUGCAAGCCUUGACAGUGUGACUUCAGGUUUCCUCGAGUGCUGUACUGCAAGAGCAGCCAAUAGGAAGGCAGCAACAAACUAACAGGAAAUAAAUUGCAACUCCUACAUGAAUUUCUUUCCUAG